GACGAACGCUGGCGGCGUGCUUAACACAUGCAAGUCGAACGGAAAGGCCCUGCUUUUGUGGGGUGCUCGAGUGGCGAACGGGUGAGUAACACGGGAGUAACCUGCGCUUGACUUUGGGAUAACUUCAGGAAACUGGGGCUACUACCGGAUAGGAGCUCCUGCUGCAUGGUGGGGGUUGGAAAGUUUCGGCGGUGGGGGGUGGACGCGCGGCUUAUCAGCUUGUUGGUGGGGUAGUGGCUUACCAAGGCUUUGACGGGUAGCCGGCCUGAGAGGUUGACCGGCCACAAUGGGACUGAGAUACGGCCCAGACGCCUACGGGAGACAGCAGUGGGGAAUAUUGCACAAUGGGCGGAAGUCUGAUGCAGCAACGCCGCGUGCGUGAUGACGGCCUUCGGGUUGUAAACCGCUUUCGCCUGUGACGAAGCGUGAGUGACGGUAAUGGGUAAAGAAGCACCGGCUAACUACGUG
rnacentral:rRNA from 1 species